AAGGGGCGGAGCCUGGACUGGGGGGCAGGCUCAGAUUCAGGUUAAAUUGCGGAUUGAGCUCGCAGUUACAGACAGCUGACCAUGGAAGCGAACGGGUUAGGACCUCAGGGUUUUCCAGAGCUGAAGAAUGACACAUUCCUGCGAGCAGCCUGGGGAGAGGAAACAGACUACACUCCCGUUUGGUGCAUGCGCCAGGCAGGCCGUUACUUACCAGAGUUUAGGGAAACCCGGGCUGCCCAGGACUUUUUCAGCACGUGUCGCUCUCCUGAGGCCUGCUGUGAACUGACUCUGCAGGUGAGGGGUCCACAAAAGAGGGAAAGAUUUAUGCCUUCAGUCUUCCACCUAGCAACCUGUCUCCUGUUUCCUACAGCCACUGCGUCGCUUCCCUCUGGAUGCUGCCAUCAUUUUCUCCGACAUCCUUGUUGUACCCCAGGUACCCACUCAAACCUAAUCCUGGAAUAUAAUCCAAGGACCCCUUGCAAAUCCUUCUAUCAGUCCAGUCAAGGUUUACAAUAAGCACUUAUCCUAACUGGAUUGAGGGAAAAACUACGAUUGAAAGGAAUGGAGUUUGGCAGAGUUUUGUUCUCCUUUUCCUUCCUCCUGGAAUGAGCUGAACAGAACCUUUCCUCCUGGAUUCCAUUUUGGGAACCCAGAUGUUUUCUCCUUCUCCAGGCACUGGGCAUGGAGGUGACCAUGGUACCUGGCAAAGGACCCAGCUUCCCAGAGCCAUUAAGAGAAGAGCAGGACCUAGAAUGCCUACGGGAUCCAGAAGUGGUAGCCUCUGAGCUAGACUAUGUGUUCCAAGCCAUCACCCUUACCCGACAACGACUGGCUGGACGUGUGCCGCUGAUUGGCUUUGCUGGUGCCCCAGUAAUGUGGCGCAGGGCAGGGACUUGGGGCGCGGGGAGAUCACUCUGGCAGGUCUGGGAUAGACAAAGGAAGGGUCAGUCUGGCUUCUGUGACAUCA
rnacentral:sRNA from 1 species